rnacentral:rRNA from 1 species
GGGGAAUCUUGCGCAAUGGGCGAAAGCCUGACGCAGCGACGCCGCGUGGGGGAAGAAGGCCUUCGGGUUGUAAACCUCUUUCAGGAGGGACGAAGCCACUCGGGUUAAUAGCCCAGAGGGUGACGGUACCUCCAGAAGAAGCCCCGGCUAACUACGUGCCAGCAGCCGCGGUAAUACGGGGGGGGCAAGCGUUGUUCGGAAUUACUGGGCGUAAAGGGCUCGUAGGCGGCCAACUAAGUCGGACGUGAAAUCCCCAGGCUCAACCUGGGAACUGCGUCCGAUACUGGAUGGCUUGAAUCCGGGAGAGGGAUGCAGAAUUCCAGGUGUAGCGGUGAAAUGCGUAGAUAUCUGGAGGAAUACCGGUGGCGAAGGCGGCAUCCUGGACCGGCAUUGACGCUGAGGAGCGAAAGCCAGGGGAGCAAAC